AUGGCCGUCAUUUACGUGGAAUGGGAAACUCAUACCAAGGACCUCCAAAGCCAUGUUCAAAGCAGCCUUCCACAUGCAAUUCUGCAAAGGUUUAACACUCAGAAAGUAUCAAGUAAUCAAGGAUACAGUAUUCACUUGUGUCCGGUAUAUCUUAAGGUAUACCACAGGCCCCAGCAGAGAGGCUCUUCUUAUGGGAAACUCUACAUCUCCUCGUUCCCAUCCUCAUCUUCAUUAUAUCAAUUCUGCACAAUAGAAUAUUUAUUUUCUGCUUUUUGA